rnacentral:rRNA from 1 species
GAUGAACGCUAGCGGCAGGCUUAAUACAUGCAAGUCGAGGGGCAGCAGUUUUGUAGCAAUACAGAAGCUGGCGACCGGCAAACGGGUGCGGAACACGUACGCAACCUUCCUUUAACUGGAAGAUAGCCCACCGAAAGGUGGAUUAAUACUCCAUAACAUAUUGAAGAGGCAUCUUUUUGAUAUUAAAGCUCCGGCGGUUAAAGAUGGGCGUGCGUCUGAUUAGGUAGUUGGCGGGGUAACGGCCCACCAAGCCUUCGAUCAGUAGCUGAUGUGAUAGCAUGGUCAGACACACGGGCGAUGGGACGCGGGCCCGACUCCUACGGGAGGGAGCAGUAAGGAAUAUUGGUCAAUGGACACAAGUCUGAACCAGCCAUGCCGCGUGGAGGAUGAAGGCCCUCUGGGUUGUAAACUUCUUUUCUUUGGGACGAAACCCCUGUUUCUACGGGGACUGACGGUACCAGAGGAAUAAGCACCGGCUAACUCCGUGCCAGCAGCCGCCGUAACAC